GACGAACGCUGGCGGCGUGCUUAACACAUGCAAGUCGAACGGAAAGACCCUGCGUUUGUUGCUUGCUCGAUAGGCGAACGGGUGAGUGACACGUGUGUAUCCUCCCCUUGACUGUCUGAGAUCAUCACGAGACUCCGGCGAAUAUCCGGUAUGAUCUCCUGCUCCGUGUUGUGGGAUGGUGAGUGUCGGCUGUUGGGGCUGGACUCGCGGCUUAUCAGCUUGUUGGUGUGGUAGUGGCUUACCAGGGCUUUGACGGGUAGCCGGCCUGAGAGGGUUACCGGCGACAUUGGGACUGCGGGACGGCCCAGACGGCUACGGGAGGCAGCAGUGGGGAGUAUUGCACAAUGGGCGGACGCCUGUUGUAGCAACCCCGCGUGCGGGAUGACGGCCUACGGGUGAUAAACAGCUUUCGACUGUGACGAAGCGUGAGUGACGGUACUGGGUAAAGAAGCACCGGCUAACUACGUG
rnacentral:rRNA from 1 species